UUCGGACUGGCCCAGGGAGGUCGGCAACGACCACCCAGGGCCGGAAAGUUGGUCAAACUCGGUCAUUUAGAGGAAGUAAAAGUCGUAACAAGGUCUCCGUAGGUGAACCUGCGGAGGGAUCAUU
rnacentral:rRNA from 2 species